UAACGAAUCUUGCGCAAUGGGCGAAAGCCUGACGCAGCGACGCCGCGUGUGGGAUGAAGUCUCUCGGGAUGUAAACCACUGUCAGGGAGAAGAAAGUGCGCUUCGGCGCAUUGAUCUAUCCCAGAGGAAGUCACGGCUAACUUCGUGCCAGCAGCCGCGGUAAGACGAAGGUGGCGGGCGUUGUUCGGUGUCACUGGGCUUAAAGGGUGUGUAGGCGGAAAAGUGUGCGUCUUGUGAAAUCCCCCGGCUUAACCGGGGAAUGGCUGGACGAACUGCUUUUCUUGAGGCAAGUAGGGGUACAUGGAACUCUUGGUGGAGCGGUGGAAUGCGUAGAUAUCAAGAGGAACGCCGAUGGUGAAAACAGUGUACUGGGCUUGAUCUGACGCUGAAACACGAAAGCGUGGGGAGCGAACG
rnacentral:rRNA from 1 species